UACGGGGGGAGCAAGCGUUGUCCGGAUUUAUUGGGUUUAAAGGGUGCGUAGGCGGCCUAUUAAGUCAGUGCUGAAAUAUCCCGGCUUAACCGGGAGGGUGGCAUUGAUACUGAUGGGCUUGAGUAGAGUUGAGGUUGGCGGAAUUGACGGUGUAGCGGUGAAAUGCUUAGAUAUCGUCAAGAACACCUAUUGCGAAGGCAGCUAACUAAGCUCAAACUGACGCUGAGGCACGAAAGUGUGGGGAUCAAACAGG
rnacentral:rRNA from 1 species